rnacentral:lncRNA from 1 species
CUGUCAAGAGCUGCUCAUGAAGAAUAUGGGCAUAAGUGUCCUUCUGAUCUGGGAUCAUCACGGUAACUUACAAGCAACUCAUUAUGCUUUGGUGCCGAACUACCUGAAUUUUUAACUCAGUGAUGGAAGGUUUCUAGACACAGUCAAGUACUUGUGAUAGUUGGUGUGUGAAUCAAGAUGGGAUUGACCACUCCAUAUUUUAGAAGUUGAUACAUCACUAUAUUUCAAUUGAGUAAGAUCUCGAUCGGGGCAAUAUAUGUGAUGGGUCAUAGGAUUUGAAAAAGCUUGAAAUAUAAUGUAGAUGACUAAUCCAGAGUUGACAGUUAAAUCUUAGGUCAUCCUAAGCAUUCAGGGUCCAAGGGA